GUUAAGCGACUAAGCGUACACGGUGGAUGCCCUGGCAGUCAGAGGCGAUGAAGGACGUGCUAAUCUGCGAUAAGCGUCGGUAAGGUGAUAUGAACCGUUAUAACCGGCGAUUUCCGAAUGGGGAAACCCAGUGUGUUUCGACACACUAUCAUUAACUGAAUCCAUAGGUUAAUGAGGCGAACCGGGGGAACUGAAACAUCUAAGUACCCCGAGGAAAAGAAAUCAACCGAGAUUCCCCCAGUAGCGGCGAGCGAACGGGGAGCAGCCCAGAGCCUGAAUCAGUAUGUGUGUUAGUGGAAGCGUCUGGAAAGGCGCGCGAUACAGGGUGACAGCCCCGUACACAAAAAUGCACAUGCUGUGAGCUCGAUGAGUAGGGCGGGACACGUGGUAUCCUGUCUGAAUAUGGGGGGACCAUCCUCCAAGGCUAAAUACUCCUGACUGACCGAUAGUGAACCAGUACCGUGAGGGAAAGGCGAAAAGAACCCCGGCGAGGGGAGUGAAAAAGAACCUGAAACCGUGUACGUACAAGCAGUGGGAGCACGCUUAGGCGUGUGACUGCGUACCUUUUGUAUAAUGGGUCAGCGACUUAUAUUCUGUAGCAAGGUUAACCGAAUAGGGGAGCCGAAGGGAAACCGAGUCUUAACUGGGCGUUAAGUUGCAGGGUAUAGACCCGAAACCCGGUGAUCUAGCCAUGGGCAGGUUGAAGGUUGGGUAACACUAACUGGAGGACCGAACCGACUAAUGUUGAAAAAUUAGCGGAUGACUUGUGGCUGGGGGUGAAAGGCCAAUCAAACCGGGAGAUAGCUGGUUCUCCCCGAAAGCUAUUUAGGUAGCGCCUCGUGAAUUCAUCUCCGGGGGUAGAGCACUGUUUCGGCAAGGGGGUCAUCCCGACUUACCAACCCGAUGCAAACUGCGAAUACCGGAGAAUGUUAUCACGGGAGACACACGGCGGGUGCUAACGUCCGUCGUGAAGAGGGAAACAACCCAGACCGCCAGCUAAGGUCCCAAAGUCAUGGUUAAGUGGGAAACGAUGUGGGAAGGCCCAGACAGCCAGGAUGUUGGCUUAGAAGCAGCCAUCAUUUAAAGAAAGCGUAAUAGCUCACUGGUCGAGUCGGCCUGCGCGGAAGAUGUAACGGGGCUAAACCAUGCACCGAAGCUGCGGCAGCGACACUAUGUGUUGUUGGGUAGGGGAGCGUUCUGUAAGCCUGCGAAGGUGUGCUGUGAGGCAUGCUGGAGGUAUCAGAAGUGCGAAUGCUGACAUAAGUAACGAUAAAGCGGGUGAAAAGCCCGCUCGCCGGAAGACCAAGGGUUCCUGUCCAACGUUAAUCGGGGCAGGGUGAGUCGACCCCUAAGGCGAGGCCGAAAGGCGUAGUCGAUGGGAAACAGGUUAAUAUUCCUGUACUUGGUGUUACUGCGAAGGGGGGACGGAGAAGGCUAUGUUGGCCGGGCGACGGUUGUCCCGGUUUAAGCGUGUAGGCUGGUUUUCCAGGCAAAUCCGGAAAAUCAAGGCUGAGGCGUGAUGACGAGGCACUACGGUGCUGAAGCAACAAAUGCCCUGCUUCCAGGAAAAGCCUCUAAGCAUCAGGUAACAUCAAAUCGUACCCCAAACCGACACAGGUGGUCAGGUAGAGAAUACCAAGGCGCUUGAGAGAACUCGGGUGAAGGAACUAGGCAAAAUGGUGCCGUAACUUCGGGAGAAGGCACGCUGAUAUGUAGGUGAGGUCCCUCGCGGAUGGAGCUGAAAUCAGUCGAAGAUACCAGCUGGCUGCAACUGUUUAUUAAAAACACAGCACUGUGCAAACACGAAAGUGGACGUAUACGGUGUGACGCCUGCCCGGUGCCGGAAGGUUAAUUGAUGGGGUUAGCGCAAGCGAAGCUCUUGAUCGAAGCCCCGGUAAACGGCGGCCGUAACUAUAACGGUCCUAAGGUAGCGAAAUUCCUUGUCGGGUAAGUUCCGACCUGCACGAAUGGCGUAAUGAUGGCCAGGCUGUCUCCACCCGAGACUCAGUGAAAUUGAACUCGCUGUGAAGAUGCAGUGUACCCGCGGCAAGACGGAAAGACCCCGUGAACCUUUACUAUAGCUUGACACUGAACAUUGAGCCUUGAUG
rnacentral:rRNA from 1 species